UCACAAGCAUAUAAUUUCAUUCCCCUCUCCCAUUCCCCCUCCCUCAUGGUCAAUUCUCCUCUCCCAUUCCCCUGUUACUUGUUCCCUCUCCCUCUCCCUCUCGGUCGAUUCCCCUGUUCCCUGCCCUCUCCCUCUCGGUCGAUUCCCCUAUUCCCUCACCCUCCCUGCCCUCAACCUCUCGGUCGAUCUAUCGGUUUCCCCGUGUUCCCUCUCUGUUUCUCUCGCCAUUUGUGCACAAAGAAGCAAAUAUUCAAGACAGAAGCAGGACAAAGAUGAAAGAUUGAAAGGGCAACAUGGCUCCUCCUUCCCAGUUCUCCUCCCUCUCUCCCCCGGCUACUGUUAAAAAAAAAAAACAGAGAGCUUCCACCCGGGAUAUGGUGGUGGAUCCGGGGAUGAGG
rnacentral:lncRNA from 1 species